rnacentral:rRNA from 1 species
UUCUAAUAGUAUUUAUUAUUAGUAAAAUCUGCUCAAUGAUUAUUUAAAUAGCCGCAAUUAUCUUGUGCUAAGGUAGCAUAAUCAUUUGCCUUAUAAUUUAAGGCUAGAAUGAAAGAUUUUACAUUUUAAUUAUUAUUUACAUUACUAUAAUUAAUUUAUUCUAAAAAUAAAAAAAUUUUUAUACUUAAAAAAGACGAUAAGACCCUAUUGAAUUUUACUAAAGUUUAACUGGGGAAGUUAAUUAAUUAUAAUUUUAAUUAUUAUAAUCUAAAAAAAAUCUAUUAAAUUUAACUAAAUCAAUAUUACCAUAGGGAUAACAGCAUAAUAAAUUUUUAAAGAUCAUAUUAAAAAAAAAGAUUAUGACCUCGAUGUUGAAUAAUAAUCUAUUACACGAAGCCGUGUAAUAAGAAAGUCUGUUCGACUUUUAAUAAAUUACA